GAUUAAGUUAUUAAGGGCGCACGGUGGAUGCCUUGGCACUAGAAGCCGAUGAAGGACGUUACUAACGACGAUAUGCUUUGGGGAGCUGUAAGUAAGCUUUGAUCCAGAGAUUUCCGAAUGGGGAAACCCAGCAUGAGUUAUGUCAUGUUAUCGAUAUGUGAAUACAUAGCAUAUCAGAAGGCACACCCGGAGAACUGAAACAUCUUAGUACCCGGAGGAAGAGAAAGAAAAUUCGAUUCCCUUAGUAGCGGCGAGCGAAACGGGAAGAGCCCAAACCAACAAGCUUGCUUGUUGGGGUUGUAGGACACUCUAUACGGAGUUACAAAGGACGACAUUAGACGAAUCAUCUGGAAAGAUGAAUCAAAGAAGGUAAUAAUCCUGUAGUCGAAAAUGUUGUCUCUCUUGAGUGGAUCCUGAGUACGACGGAGCACGUGAAAUUCCGUCGGAAUCUGGGAGGACCAUCUCCUAAGGCUAAAUACUCUCUAGUGACCGAUAGUGAACCAGUACCGUGAGGGAAAGGUGAAAAGCACCCCGGAAGGGGAGUGAAAUAGAACCUGAAACCGUGUGCUUACAAGUAGUCAGAGCCCGUUAAUGGGUGAUGGCGUGCCUUUUGUAGAAUGAACCGGCGAGUUACGAUUUGAUGCAAGGUUAAGCAGUAAAUGUGGAGCCGUAGCGAAAGCGAGUCUGAAUAGGGCGUUUAGUAUUUGGUCGUAGACCCGAAACCAGGUGAUCUACCCUUGGUCAGGUUGAAGUUCAGGUAACACUGAAUGGAGGACCGAACCGACUUACGUUGAAAAGUGAGCGGAUGAACUGAGGGUAGCGGAGAAAUUCCAAUCGAACCUGGAGAUAGCUGGUUCUCUCCGAAAUAGCUUUAGGGCUAGCCUCAAGUGAUGAUUAUUGGAGGUAGAGCACUGUUUGGACGAGGGGCCCCUCUCGGGUUACCGAAUUCAGACAAACUCCGAAUGCCAAUUAAUUUAACUUGGGAGUCAGAACAUGGGUGAUAAGGUCCGUGUUCGAAAGGGAAACAGCCCAGACCACCAGCUAAGGUCCCAAAAUAUAUGUUAAGUGGAAAAGGAUGUGGCGUUGCCCAGACAACUAGGAUGUUGGCUUAGAAGCAGCCAUCAUUUAAAGAGUGCGUAAUAGCUCACUAGUCGAGUGACACUGCGCCGAAAAUGUACCGGGGCUAAACAUAUUACCGAAGCUGUGGAUUGUCCUUUGGACAAUGGUAGGAGAGCGUUCUAAGGGCGUUGAAGCAUGAUCGUAAGGACAUGUGGAGCGCUUAGAAGUGAGAAUGCCGGUGUGAGUAGCGAAAGACGGGUGAGAAUCCCGUCCACCGAUUGACUAAGGUUUCCAGAGGAAGGCUCGUCCGCUCUGGGUUAGUCGGGUCCUAAGCUGAGGCCGACAGGCGUAGGCGAUGGAUAACAGGUUGAUAUUCCUGUACCACCUAUAAUCGUUUUAAUCGAUGGGGGGACGCAGUAGGAUAGGCGAAGCGUGCGAUUGGAUUGCACGUCUAAGCAGUAAGGCUGAGUAUUAGGCAAAUCCGGUACUCGUUAAGGCUGAGCUGUGAUGGGGAGAAGACAUUGAGUNNNNNNNNNNNNNNNNNNNNNNNNNNNNNNNNNNNNNNNNNNNNNNNNNNNNNNNNNNNNNNNNNNNNNNNNNNNNNNNNNNNNNNNNNNNNNNNNAGUCUUCGAGUCGUUGAUUUCACACUGCCGAGAAAAGCCUCUAGAUAGAAAAUAGGUGCCCGUACCGCAAACCGACACAGGUAGUCAAGAUGAGAAUUCUAAGGUGAGCGAGCGAACUCUCGUUAAGGAACUCGGCAAAAUGACCCCGUAACUUCGGGAGAAGGGGUGCUCUUUAGGGUUAACGCCCAGAAGAGCCGCAGUGAAUAGGCCCAAGCGACUGUUUAUCAAAAACACAGGUCUCUGCUAAACCGUAAGGUGAUGUAUAGGGGCUGACGCCUGCCCGGUGCUGGAAGGUUAAGAGGAGUGGUUAGCUUCUGCGAAGCUACGAAUCGAAGCCCCAGUAAACGGCGGCCGUAACUAUAACGGUCCUAAGGUAGCGAAAUUCCUUGUCGGGUAAGUUCCGACCCGCACGAAAGGCGUAACGAUUUGGGCACUGUCUCAACGAGAGACUCGGUGAAAUCAUAGUACCUGUGAAGAUGCAGGUUACCCGCGACAGGACGGAAAGACCCCGUGGAGCUUUACUGUAGCCUGAUAUUGAAAUUCGGCACAGCUUGUACAGGAUAGGUAGGAGCCUUUGAAACGUGAGCGCUAGCUUACGUGGAGGCGCUGGUGGGAUACUACCCUAGCUGUGUUGGCUUUCUAACCCGCACCACUUAUCGUGGUGGGAGACAGUGUCAGGCGGGCAGUUUGACUGGGGCGGUCGCCUCCUAAAAGGUAACGGAGGCGCUCAAAGGUUCCCUCAGAAUGGUUGGAAAUCAUUCAUAGAGUGUAAAGGCAUAAGGGAGCUUGACUGCGAGACCUACAAGUCGAGCAGGGUCGAAAGACGGACUUAGUGAUCCGGUGGUUCCGCAUGGAAGGGCCAUCGCUCAACGGAUAAAAGCUACCCCGGGGAUAACAGGCUUAUCUCCCCCAAGAGUUCACAUCGACGGGGAGGUUUGGCACCUCGAUGUCGGCUCAUCGCAUCCUGGGGCUGUAGUCGGUCCCAAGGGUUGGGCUGUUCGCCCAUUAAAGCGGUACGCGAGCUGGGUUCAGAACGUCGUGAGACAGUUCGGUCCCUAUCCGUCGUGGGCGUAGGAAAUUUGAGAGGAGCUGUCCUUAGUACGAGAGGACCGGGAUGGACAUACCUCUGGUGUACCAGUUGUCGUGCCAACGGCAUAGCUGGGUAGCUAUGUGUGGACGGGAUAAGUGCUGAAAGCAUCUAAGCAUGAAGCCCCCCUCAAGAUGAGAUUUCCCAACUUCGGUUAUAAGAUCCCUCAAAGAUGAUGAGGUUAAUAGGUUCGAGGUGGAAGCAUGGUGACAUGUGGAGCUGACGAAUACUAAUCGAUCGAAGACUUAAUCAA
rnacentral:rRNA from 1 species